rnacentral:rRNA from 1 species
GACGAACGCUGGCGGCGUGCUUAACACAUGCAGGUCGAGCGGAAAGGCCCUGCUUUUGUGGGGUGCUCGAGUGGCGAACGGGUGAGUAACACGUGAGUAACCUGCCCUUGACUUUGGGAUAACUUCAGGAAACUGGGGCUAAUACCGGAUAGGAGCUCCUGCUGCAUGGUGGGGGUUGGAAAGUUUCGGCGGUUGGGGAUGGACUCGCGGCUUAUCAGCUUGUUGGUGGGGUAGUGGCUUACCAAGGCUUUGACGGGUAGCCGGCCUGAGAGGGUGACCGGCCACAUUGGGACUGAGAUACGGCCCAGACUCCUACGGGAGGCAGCAGUGGGGAAUAUUGCACAAUGGGCGGAAGCCUGAUGCAGCAACGCCGCGUGCGGGAUGACGGCCUUCGGGUUGUAAACCGCUUUCGCCUGUGACGAAGCGUGAGUGACGGUAAUGGGUAAAGAAGCACCGGCUAACUACGUG